rnacentral:rRNA from 1 species
UACGUAGGGGGCAAGCGUUAUCCGGAUUUACUGGGUGUAAAGGGAGCGUAGACGGUGAUGUAAGUCAGAUGUGAAAGCCCGGGGCUCAACCCCGGGACUGCAUUUGAAACUAUGUUGCUAGAGUGCAGGAGAGGUAAGUGGAAUUCCUAGUGUAGCGGUGAAAUGCGCAGAUAUCGGGAAGAACACCCGUGGCGAAGGCGGCUCUCUGGGACGGUACUGACGCUGAGACGCGAAAGCGUGGGGAGCGAACAGG